CUAUCUGCCGUGGGCGCUGGAGAACUGAGGGGGGCUGCUCCUAGUACGAGAGGACCGGAGUGGACGCAUCACUGGUGUUCGGGUUGUCAUGCCAAUGGCACUGCCCGGUAGCUAAAUGCGGAAGAGAUAAGUGCUGAAAGCAUCUAAGCACGAAACUUGCCCCGAGAUGAGUUCUCCCUGAGACUUAGAGUCUCCUGAAGGAACGUUGAAGACGACGACGUUGAUAGGCCGGGUGUGUAAGCGCAGCGAUGCGUUGAGCUAACCGGUACUAAUGAACCGUGAGGCUUAACCUU
rnacentral:rRNA from 1 species